UACGUAGGCAGCGAGCGUUGUUCGGAGUUACUGGGCGUAAAGAGCGCGUAGGCGGUUUUCUAAGUUUGGUGUGAAAUCUCCCGGCUCAACUGGGAGGGUGCGCCGAAGACUGGAAGGCUUGAGUAUGGGAGAGGUAAGCGGAAUUCCUGGUGUAGCGGUGAAAUGCGUAGAUAUCAGGAGGAACACCUGCGGUGUAGGCGGCUUACUGGACCAUAACUGACGCUGAGGCACGAAAGCGUGGGUAGCAAACAGG
rnacentral:rRNA from 1 species